rnacentral:misc_RNA from 1 species
CAAUAUCAUCAUCUCUCCUAUGAGAUUGUUUAAAUUCUUUCACAAACUCGAAUGGCUUAUUCCAAGGCAAUGAUACUGACAGUAAAAUUUCGCUGCUUGUCAGAUCCACUUUACGAUAACCCUGGAAGAAAUCUUUAGCCAGACAUGUUCUGACAUUUCCUUUGCAGUCAAUAAUUUGAAACUUAGCUCCUGUUGCCAUCCAAAGAGGGUUCAGAUCUGAUAUUGGGCUCGCAGUGCAGAUAUUCCCACCAACUGAUGCAACGUUUCGUAUUUGUGUUCCAGCAAACCACUUUAUCUGCUCGAUGAGAGCUCGACAUGAUGAUGUUUCAUACUCAGGGCGGUUAUUUCUUACCUUCUUUAAUACAUCCACAAGCUGUGACAACUUAACUCCAGCACCUAUUUCUAAGCCAUCAUCCUCAAAUCUUAUAUAGUUAAGUUCUGGAACAUGUGCAACAGAUAUUAAUACAGGAUAGUGAAUACCUUUAAGCCUGACUUCAAUUCCCACCUCUGUAUUUCCAACAACUAACCGGGCAUCUGGAAAUCUUGCUUUUAAAUCCAACAGAUGUUGAAGUUUUAUGGGCCUAUACCACUUCCGUCCAUUUGAUCCACUCAAACUUAAAUAAGUCAAUUUCCUUAAUAAAAGUUCAGGGGGAAAAAUAAGUUCUUUGCUGGUGUAUGUGGUUCCAUCGGUUUCAUUGUAAGAAAAUGGCUUCCAGCCACAAUCAUUGCUUAAAUUAUGUUUGACGGUUUCUUCACUAUUUUCAGCCUUCGGCCCACAUGAACAAGGCUUACCCGUUGAAG